rnacentral:rRNA from 1 species
AGCGAACGCUGGCGGCAGGCCUAACACAUGCAAGUCGAACGGAUCCUUCGGGAUUAGUGGCGGACGGGUGAGUAACACGUGGGAACGUGCCCUUUGGUUCGGAACAACUCAGGGAAACUUGAGCUAAUACAGGAUGUGCCCUUCGGGGGAAAGAUUUAUCGCCAUUGGAGCGGCCCGCGUCUGAUUAGGUAGUUGGUGAGGUAAAGGCUCACCAAGGCGACGAUCAGUAGCUGGUCGGAGAGGAUGAUCAGCCACAUUGGGACUGAGACACGGCCAAAACUCCUACGGGAGGCAGCAGUGGGGAAUCUUGCGCAAGGGGCGAAAGCCUGACGCAGCCAUGCCGCGUGAAUGAUGAAGGCCUUAGGAUUGUAAAAUUCUUUCACCGGGGACGAUAAUGACGGUACCCGGAGAAGAAGCCCCGGCUAACUUCGUGCCAGCAGCCGCCGUAA